CCCUUAGAUGUUCUGGGCCGCACACGCGCUACACUGAAGGAGGCAGCGUGUACUCCUGGAUCGAAAGAUUUGGGUAACCCGCGAAUCUCCUUCGUGCUAGGGAUUGAGGUUUGCAAUUAUCCUUCAUGAACGAGGAAUUCCCAGUAAGUGCAAGUCAUAAGCUUGCGCUGACUACGUCCCUGCCCUUUGUACACACCGCCCUUCGCUACUACCGAUUGAAUGAUUUAGUGAGGACUUCGGACUGGGACCGAUGCGGCUUUCGGGCUGCGUCGGUAUUCUGGAAAGAUGUCCAAACUGUAUCAUUUAGAGGAAGUAAAAGUCGUAACA
rnacentral:rRNA from 1 species